CUCAUGUUUGGAGACAGACAAAAUUCAGCUCCAUUGUGACUGUGCAAACAAGUCCUUCUACAAAAACUCUGAAAGACAACCGGUUUUUCACCUGCCCACUGCCUACUGCCAAUUUUCAAUAAAUAAAUAAUGAAAUGACUA